AUUAUACUCCCUCCGUCCGAAAAUACUUGUCAUCAAAAUGGAUAAAAAUGAAUGUAUCUAGAACUAAAAUACGUCUAGAUACAUCUUUUUUUAUCCAUUUUGAUGACAAGUAUUUCCGGACGGAGGGAGUAGUAC
rnacentral:pre_miRNA from 1 species